UUCUCCUUUCUUUCUUCUUGGAGGUGCGACUUUUUUUGUUUUUUUUUUAAGAAACGCGUGUCCAGCGAAGGAAACGCGUUUCCGAUUUCAAGGAAUUGCGGAAACGACCCGGAGAGGUUUCCUCGCCGUGUCCUAACGUUUUCGGCAAGGAAACGUUUCCAGAACGAGGAAACGCUCCCUCCUCCUGUUUGCCGGAAACGUUUCCAGAACGGGGAAACGCUCCCGCCUCCUGUUUCCGUGCAUCUAGGUGAUAAAAGCCACAAGUCUUUCCCUUACUGCUACAUUGAUAUCCAGGACAUCAUCACAAAUAUUUUUCUUAUAAAUGUUCUUGCUACUUUACAGAACUUUCUUUACCUCCCUCUCUUUGUGCACUCUCUUUGUGCAUGUGCAUAAAUGCAUAUAAUGUCUGUAUGCAUAAUAUGGAUAAAUAGAAAAUUGGUAAUUUAACCAAAUUACUGAUGGUACAGGAUAGGCAUUGGAUUAGUUUCUAUCAUGUAUCAAAAAAUGUUGUUUUGCUUUAAUUAAUUCUAAACUGUCAAUGAAUAAUGGAGUUAGAAGCAGCAGCAGUUGUACAAAACUUUUAAUAGUGCUUGAAAACAAUCAGGUGAAGUCUUUUUCUUCGUAAGGUUGUUCCUUCACUAGAAUUGAUGACUUAUAUAAUGCUAAGCAUCACUUCUUGAUUGCACCUAGAUCUAUCUAUUCUAGAAAGCUACAUCUUUCAUGGAUAGGGAAAACAAAUACUCUCUCAAAGUGAUUUUGAUGAUGUUUUCCUCUUACUUCUAUUGGGUCUUUCUGGCAGCCUACAAUCACUGGGGAGAUUCAGUCACCAAUGGGUGUUGCCUCAGUCGAAUUUAUUGAUCCAAGGGAGAAUGUGGCGGUUGGUUAAUGGUUACAAAAUAUUUUUAGUACUUUAUUUAUUUUGGCUCGCCUUAUAUGCAUACGUAUCUAUUUUUAUUUUAAUGUCGAUCAUUUCCCCCCACCCCACACCUAUUAUGAGGUUGAGAGUAUUAUGUUAAUUUAUUGUAUAAGUAUAAUCUAGGGAAUCUUAGGUGCUGCUUUUUGGGUCAUUGACCGAAAUAUUCUAUUAAUUUUCUAGGUUGUUCCAAUCUUGAGAGCUGGUCUUGCUCUUGCAGAACAUGCAUCAUCAAUAUUGCCUGCAACAAAAACCUACCAUAUAGAAAUUAAGGGAUAGGCGGAGAUGAGGAUACACUUCAACCAACAAUAUAUCUGAACAAGUUACCUGAAAAUUUCCCCAAAGAUUCUCGAGUAUUUGUGGUGGAUCCUAUGCUGGCAACAGUGGCACGAUAGUGGCAACUGUUGAUCUCAUUAAGGAAUGUGGGGUUGAGAACAUACAAACAAGAGUGGUAACUAGUUUAUAACGAAUCUUUCUUGCAUUUGUGAAAUUUGACAUGCAGUUGAUAUCUUCACGAGCAACUUCAUGUGUCAAAGGCUAGGUUGGUGUAUGUUGUGCUUUAGCUGUUCUACCCCAUUGUUUUAUUACUUCUUAUGGAGGUAUUUGAAUUUUCUUUUGAAAAAAUUAAAUGAUCUAAAUUUUUACUUUGUACUUUCUUGCUUUUCAUAAGAUUAUCUUUCACCUUCAACAGUAGAAAUAAUAGGAUCAUUACUCUGCUUGAUGGUUUCUUUUUGCAUAAUUAUGAAUGUAAGAUAUAUUUUGAAUUUGUGGAACGAUUGGCAUUGGAUAUGUGAAAAAGAAUUUAUGGAAUUGAUGAGCAAGUCUCAUAUGACAAGUGAUCUGUGGAUUGAUCCAUAGCAUGAACACUGUCUGCAUCUGCCAAAAGGUCCUAAGUAGUUUUGCUGUUAAUUUAUUCACUCAGGAAACAAGUAAAAAUAGAGGCCACUAGAGUUUUCAAAAUGUAACAUGCUGAAGAUGUGCUGAAAAAAAAAGUGUACAGAAAUGUUCUUGGUAUUUGUGGAGGGGGAGAGAAGCAUAAAUGAUGAGGUCUUUUUUGGCUGGAAGAGAAAGCUGGUACUGGCUCAAUUCAAUUCAACAAAUUUUCUCUUCUGUGCACAUUACAAUAUUCAUACUCGAAUGGGAAAAUUACUUUUGGGAUUUGCUUGGUGCAAAUAUGCUACAUUGAUGUCAAUCAAUCUAUAUUCCAUCUAUAUUUUUGAGCUUGAUGAAAUGUUUUUUAUUAGAUAUAUGUAUUUGAUAGUUGCUUAUGCAGUGUUAAUGAGCAAGUGCAAGUGGAAAGCUAUUUCUUUUCUCUAUCUUUGAAGUUUGAUUAGCAAUCUGCUGAAUGAAAGCUGCCGUGUAAGUUGUAACAGAUAUCUGCAGUGGCUGCUCCUCCAGCCUUUUCAAAAGCUCAGCAAGAAGUUUCCUGUGCUUCACGUUUACACUGGAAUAUCAUUGAUCCUACAGUCAAUCACAAAGGAUUUAUGGUUCCUGGACUUGGAGAAGUUGGAGAUCGUAGUUUUGGCACAUGAUGUCUAAAUUUUUUUAUCAUCAUUAUUAUUAUAUUGGAGGGUAGCAGAGGAAGAAUGUUGAUUGAUGUAAACCUCUACCCUAUCCAUGUAAGUAAGGAUUUGCAAUUUGGAUGUGUUGAGCUAGAGUUUUGCAA